rnacentral:rRNA from 1 species
AAUGAACGUUGGCGGCGUGGAUUCGGCAUGCAAGUCGAGCGGAAAGGCCCGCAAGGGUACUCAAGCGGCGAAAGGGAGAGUAACACGUAGGUUACCUACCCUCCGACCCGGGAUAGCUGAGGGAAACUUCAGGUAAUACCGGAUAACGUCUCCGGACCAAAGGUGUGAUUCCGUCGGGGGAGGGGCCUGCGUCCUAUUAGCUUGUUGGGGAGGUAACGGCUCACCAAGGCAAAGAUGGGUACGGGGUGUGAGAGCAUGCCCCCGCUCACUGGGACUGAGACACUGCCCAGACACCUACGGGUGGCUGCAGUCGAGGAUCUUCGGCAAUGGGCGCAAGCCUGACCGAGCGACGCCGCGUGCGGGAUGAAGGCCUUCGGGUUGUAAACCGCUGUCAGGGGGGAGGAAAUGCUACGGGGUUCUCCCCGUAGUUUGACCUAGCCUCAGAGGAAGUACGGGCUAAGUUCGUGCCAGCCGCCGCGGUAAGAC